rnacentral:tRNA from 1 species
ACUGUGUUGGCAGAAUGUAUGUUUUGGAUUUAGAAUCUAACUAUGUAAUUAUUAUUACACGCAGUA